CCCAGAGUAAUCUCUACCUUACAUACCUGUCUCCUGCUCUCUCCUAUGGGACAGUGCUUUGCUCUCUCCUCCAGCUCUGCUUCACUCCUACUUGAUAUUUCUUGUCCUAAUGUUUCUAAUACCCCCACCUCCUAUAGUCUGUAAGCUCGUUUGAGCAGGGUCCCCUUCAACCUAUUGUUCCUGUAAGUUUUCUUGUAAUUGUCCUAUUUAUUGUUACAUCCCCCCUCUCAAAAUAUUGUAAAGCGCUACGGAAUCUGUUGGCGCUAUAUAAAUGAUAAUAAUAAUAAUAAGAAGAAUUAUAUUGUGUAUUCACAUAUUGAAAUUUUAAAGGAAUAAGCGCUGGUUCCUACCCACACGUUUUUGCACUAGCCUUAAAAAUCGCUUGACACUUUAAGGUUGCACUCACAGAUUGAUGGUAUAUGAUAAGCCUCCAGGGUGCCUCCCCUAUGAUCAGGGGGGUAUCUCCUCGACAAUUCUGAUAUCAGGAAGUCCACACGCUCCCAUUGGUUGAAUGUAAAAACCUAAUAUAUUGGCAUAAAAUAUACUAAAUAAUGAUAAAACAAAACAGAAAAGGUCCUACGCGUUUCAUUUCCCUUGGGAAACUUCCUCAGGGACCAGAAAAAUUUAAAUAUAUUAUAAAACAAAUGCAAUCAAAUACACUUCAAACAAAACUUGACCAGUGUAAAAAAUGCCUCUGUCAGUGUGUGUAUCUGUAUUCCUGUCAGUGUGUGUAUCUGUAUGUCUGUGUGUAUCUGUAUGCCUGUCAGUGUGUGUCUGUGUGUGUGUCUGUAUGUCUGUCAACGUGUGUAACUGCCUCUGUCAGUGUGUGUAUCUGUAUUCCUGUCAGUGUGUGUAUCUAUAUGUCCUUCUGUACAGUUGCAAGAAAAAGUAUGUGAACCCUUUGGAAUUAUAUGGAUUUCUGCACAAAUUGGUCAUAAAAUGUGAUCUGAUCAUCAUCUAAGUCACAAUAGACAAUCACAGUCUAUUGUUGUGACUUAGUCUGCAGAAACACACAAAGAAUGAAAUGUUGCCAUGUUUUUAUUGAACACACCAUGUAAACAUUCGCAGGUGGAAAAAGUAUGUGAA